rnacentral:rRNA from 1 species
CCUACGGGAGGCAGCAGUAGGGAAUAUUGGACAAUGGGCGCAAGCCUGAUCCAGCCAUGCCGCGUGAGUGAAGAAGGCCUUCGGGUUGUAAAGCUCUUUUGUCCGGAAAGAAAAGCAUCCGGUUAAUACCUGUUUGUCCUGACGGUACCGGAAGAAUAAGCACCGGCUAACUUCGUGCCAGCAGCCGCGGUAAUACGAAGGGUGCAAGCGUUACUCGGAAUUACUGGGCGUAAAGCGUGCGUAGGUGGUUUGUUAAGUCUGAUGUGAAAGCCCUGGGCUCAACCUGGGAAUGGCAUUGGAUACUGGCAGGCUAGAGUGCGGUAGAGGGUAGUGGAAUUCCCGGUGUAGCAGUGAAAUGCGUAGAGAUCGGGAGGAACAUCUGUGGCGAAGGCGACUACCUGGACCAGCACUGACACUGAGGCACGAAAGCGUGGGGAGCAAACAGGAUUAGAUACCCU